GAGAAGUAUCUUUUGAUGAUGAUGAAGUUCACUAGACUCACUGUCUUCGAUGGAUCUCACUUCUGCAUCAAUGGCAACUACUCCCUCAUUCAUACAAUAAGAAGGUCUAGCAGGACAAGUAUUAGCCAUCCAGGAAAAUUCAAAGAAGCACAGCUAUCUACAAGCCAUUUAAAAAUGCCUAGAAAGCCUUGGACAAGAAGGCAUUUGAAGGAAGGAGUUGAAAGAAGAAAACAGAGUGACUUUUCAGAUGUUUCCAGAAGAAUUUUAUUCAAAGAAGGUCAUGAUAUGGGAGAAGAUAGACCUGUAUUGAUACAUUAAUCUAAAACAGCAGGAACUAUGAAUAAUAAUAAUAAAACAAAUCUCCUUG
rnacentral:lncRNA from 1 species